rnacentral:tRNA from 1 species
GCCGGGAUAGCUCAGUUGGUAGAGCAGGGGACUGAAAAUCCUCGUGUCACCAGUAGAAUG